CUUUCUUGCAGAUAGUGACUCAGAUCCAUUUGACUUAAAUGAGUCAUCUUUGGUGGAAGAAUCAUAUAGCGAUAGUCUCUCCUCUGUAGUUCCUCUUUCUGAACUGAACACACUGUCUUGAUGAAAUUCUAGAGUCAAAAGAGAAGAAAAACCCAAGGACUGGUAAAUAUU